rnacentral:misc_RNA from 1 species
AGACACCCAAAGGUGGAAGAAUAACCUUGGACAAGCUAGAAAGAGAAAGAGAUGAAUCAUCUUCUUCAUGGUGAUGAUGGUGAGGAGCUUGUGUCUCUCCAUGGUGGUUUCUCAAGCUCCUCUUCAUGUUAAAGGGUGGGUGAUGAAGAUCAUUGCUUGGAGCUAAUCUCAUUUCCAUUCUCCAAAAGCAACAACUCUAUGUUCUUGGAAGAAAGAGAGAGAAAGAGAGAGAGGUUCGUUAGAUGUUUCUCUGCUCUGCAUUAAAUUUUCACAAGAAAAUCUGGUGG